CUUACCAUGCAGUCGAACGGCAGCACGGGAGCAAUCCUGGUGGCGAGUGGCGAACGGGUGAGUAAUACAUCGGAACGUGUCCUGGAGUGGGGGAUAGCCCGGCGAAAGCCGGAUUAAUACCGCAUACGCUCUGAGGAGGAAAGGGGGGGAUCUUAGGACCUCUCGCUCAAGGGGCGGCCGAUGGCAGAUUAGCUAGUUGGUGGGGUAAAGGCCUACCAAGGCGACGAUCUGUAGCUGGUCUGAGAGGACGACCAGCCACACUGGGACUGAGACACGGCCCAGACUCCUACGGGAGGCAGCAGUGGGGAAUUUUGGACAAUGGGCGCAAGCCUGAUCCAGCAAUGCCGCGUGUGUGAAGAAGGCCUUCGGGUUGUAAAGCACUUUUGUCCGGAAAGAAAACACGCCUGUUAAUACCGGGUGUGGAUGACGGUACCGGAAGAAUAAGCACCGGCUAACUACGUGCCAGCAGCCGCGGUAAUACGUAGGGUGCAAGCGUUAAUCGGAAUUACUGGGCGUAAAGCGUGCGCAGGCGGUUCGUUAAGACAGAUGUGAAAUCCCCGGGCUUAACCUGGGAACUGCAUUUGUGACUGGCGGACUCGAGUAUGGCAGAGGGGGGUAGAAUUCCACGUGUAGCAGUGAAAUGCGUAGAGAUGUGGAGGAAUACCGAUGGCGAAGGCAGCCCCCUGGGCCAAUACUGACGCUCAUGCACGAAAGCGUGGGGAGCAAACAGGAUUAGAUACCCUGGUAGUCCACGCCCUAAACGAUGUCAACUGGUUGUCGGGUCUUCAUUGACUUGGUAACGAAGCUAACGCGUGAAGUUGACCGCCUGGGGAGUACGGUCGCAGAUAAAUA
rnacentral:rRNA from 1 species